CAGUCUGUUAACAUCACUCUGAAAGGAUGCACAGUUAUUGUCAUGGGCCCCAGAGGAGCUCUGCAGAGUGACUUCAAUCAUAUCAAUGUUCAUAACACACAUCUGUAUUUAAAAAUGAAUUAACUAGUAAACUAAAUAAAUUUUAAAAAAUUAUAUCAAGGUAGAACUCCAUCUGCUUAGAAAGAAAAGGAAGACUCCUGUUUGACAAAUAAUGGAGAAAUAACUGGCUACCAUUUCCAUUGUCUUUAGUCAUAUACAGAACAUAAUCAAGGGUAUUACACAGCUUCUGUAAUAAGGUGAGUCCUCUGUAUGCUGACUUAUUUAUCAACAUCCUUAUUAAGGAGAAUGGGUCUCAUUUAAAUACAAAAUUUCUUAAGUAAAAAAUAUAUCUGCAGGUUCAGAUGAGGCUAGGUGUUACUUGCUUAGUAUCUCAAGCCCAGAAAGUGGAGGUAGUCCUAGAAGGAAAUGACAUGGAACUCGUAUCAAAUUCAGCUGCUUUGGUUCAGUAAGCCAACAGUUAAAAACAAAAAAUAUCCAAAAAAAAAUUGGAUAGAAGCUAUGUUUCUGAAAAUGGA
rnacentral:lncRNA from 1 species